ACCGCCCGCCGCCUCUCCUACGUACAGCCGGGCUCUCGGGUGCCCCGGGAGAGUGCCGCGCCCGGGCGGGCAGAGCUCGGCUUUUAUUUAUGAGAGCGUUCUGCAUCGCCGCUGUGUCCUGCCGGCACGGUCGCACCGCGCUCUGGACCGCGGGCAUUGCGUGACUGAAGCCAUGGGCUGGGGGAUGCAGCGAAGAGCUCGCAGCGCUGACAGAAAGCGGGGGACGGGGGCGCUGGGGGCUGGUGGCGGUCUACAGGUGCCAGUGCACCACACGGCAGGGACAGGCGGCCUGAAGACAUCCAUGGAUUCAUCAUGAACUUAUGACAUGCUUUUCAGUCCCCUGAAUUACGGCAGGGAUUUCUUUAUGGCUUCCCUUCAUCUCUGUAAGUCUGAAAUGGAAGUGUGCUUCUGACAGUGAAAAAUGUCAUAACUCUGCAUGCCUGGCAAGGGGGAAGAACAACUGACAGACACCUUGCAAAGUGAAAACAAACGAGGAGCUCUAAUUUAAAAGCACAGAGAGACUCGGAGCCAGCAGGGAGCUCCUGAUGACAUGCAGAAGAGGGGCAGCUGAGCCGCUGUGGAUGGAAGAGCUGUUUCUACUGCAUUCCCCUGUCUUAGCCUGAGGGCCAUCAGCUAUGGUGGAAGAGCUCCCAUGCUGAGCUGCAUGGCACAGCCACACCAGCAGGUUUUGUUCUAGCUGAAGGGGAUACCAAAAGGGUCUGUUCUCCAAGGUGGAUUUUUUUCAUGUUUAGAUUGAGUAUGAAUGAAGAAAACCAGAUAAGAAACACUAUAUAAAAAACUAUGCAAAAAAGCGUAAUACAAAAAAUGUAGCAUUUAUAGGUAUACAUUUCUUUACAGAGAUUAAGGACUUUGUCAUGAAGGCUAGCCUCUCCUUGUUUCCUGGACAUACCCUACAGCUAUUUUGGGCUGCUGAUUGAAGGUUACUGUCACAGAGUGCUGGUCCAGCUCUCCUUCCUGGCUCCAUCACUGACCUGUGCCGUGAUCCUCAGGAAGCUACGGCUUUACUCAUUUCUCACCACGGUACCUUCUCCAGUGACUCACGGGUGCCGCAGUCCUGUCCCAGCCUCAAUCCCUAUGGAGUGGUGAAGCUGCAGGGGCAACUCUGCAGCAGAGCCUCACCCUGCUUUCUCCCCAGUCAUUAUACCACACAGAUGCUCUCAGUUGCCCCAAAGACUGCAGUCUGUGGCACAGAAUGAAUACUGAAUAACAUCCUAGGAUUCAUCAUGUAUGAAUUAGUGAUGGGAGUGACAGGUAGCAAACCAUCUUGUACCUCAUUUUGACAGAAGCCCCAGUUUUUUGGUAUUUCAAAGCUGCCUCACAUGCUGAAUGGGAGCACUGGGCACAGGGUGACAGGACAGAGGUAUUAGAACGCCUCUGCAGGAGUUUUUCACUUCACGCUUCAUUCCUGUGAAGCUUCAGUGACUCCAGAGAGUCAGGAGCAGCCCUCUCAACAUAAGCUCAGUUUUAAGCCAGCGUUUGCCUGGUUUUUUGCUGAAGUGCUUUACAUAUUUUUUUUAGUUAGCAUUCUCUGUGGUUGUAUUUCACCCACCACAUAUACUAUAGGAUCAUAGAAUUGUUCCAGUCAGAAAAGACCUUUAAAACCAUUGAGUACCACUGUUAAUUGUACAUAUGCAUAUAUAAUUCAUGGGGCUCAAAGAUGCUACAUCAAUUUAAAACUUGUAGGUCUUCUUAAUGAUAAGCAGUGAAUUUAAAUCACAGAAUGUGAAUUGCAAGACUUUGGCUGGCACAGUGCCUGCAUCUAGGCCCCAGCUGGUAAUGGGAGAAAGUCAGCAGGCUUUUAGAAAGCAAUAAAUAAUUACCUUGCCAGGAUCUAGAAUUUAAGGAUGAGUGCAGGGAGGCCCGGAGCAAUAACAUGUCCAUGGGGAAAACAGGCCCACUACCUGAAAAGUUACUUUGAACACAGCAGUUACUUUUUACAUGAUUAGGUGUGCUACUGCACAGUUAAACUCUUCAAUGCAUUACAGUGCCAGAAAAUGGAGGAGUGCUGUUUUCUGGAUUACUAAAUCAAUGGGCUCAUUAAGAGAGACGUAAGUAGUGUCAGAUCUCCACUGAUACCUUAAAAUCUGCUUAGGGAGCCACUGGGACUGGAAAAAGAGAAGAAUGAAAACCAGUAAAAAAAUUCAGAAAAAGAAAUGGGGAAUUAAAGAAUCCCUCUUUAUUUUCCAUGUGAGCAUUCUUGCUGUAACACGUAUCAGUGGCUUGUACAGGUAAAGGGGAAAAGUGUCUGGAUCUCUAACAUUUGCCACUUGUUUGUAUUUGUCUCCCAACAGGUCCAUGUCCUCUAAUACCACAUAUUUCCUUCCUCCCUCUCCAGCUCAUGCAGCAGCAGCAGCUAAGACCUCUUUGGAACCAUUUGCUUUGUUACUUCUACCUCUGUUUUUCCAGGUCAGACCAUUUUCCAUAUCCUUUCCUCAAACCAAACUUUCCCCAGCUACCGAGGCAUAAAGACCAGAGAUGUGCAGUUCAGCAUGAUCAGAGUCUGGCCAGCCCUCACUCAAGACAGCCCAAAUUUGGGGAUAUCUCAGGGAAAAAAGUUCUUAAAGGUAUCAAAAAAAUGCAAUAUAUGAAAGGAAGAGUAAAGAGCAGCAAGUAGAAGAUGAGGGAUAAAGUGAAGAAACUCUAUCAGACUGUCAUCUCCACACAGGCUUCAUGCUCUCCAGAAACUGCCCGAUUAACACAUGCAAAACUGUCACCAGCAAAAUCUGGUAUCAGUGAAAUGUACAGACAGCAAAGUUCAUCAUGACUAGGAGAUGGGCAUGUCCCUGUAAUGUAUAUCUCCAGCCUCCUGGGAGAUAAUAAACUGUCAUUACUGUAUUUUAUUGGAUGAAGAGCUGCAGUACUGGGAAGUGUUCAGUGAGCAGAACAAGACCUGUUUCCCAAAAUAGAGACCUGGACUCUAUUUUCAGAAAAUUAUGUCUAAACUCCCCAAAUUUAUAGAAUUUGAAAGUGCCUGCUGCAAAGCUGUAUAAUUUAAGUAACCAGAACGUCCUCUAAAUCUCCAAGAAACUGCACCAAACGAGCUGAGGUACAGAAUCUUGAAUAGGUAACAAUCAUGCCCUUCCAUGGCACAGAAGUGGAGGAAAGAAGAAAACAGCCACUAACUUUUCAUAUGUUUAAACACUGGCUCAGUCUAGCCAAAACAGGAAGAAGUGUCAUUUCAAGAGCCUGGAAGACCGUGUGUUAGACCUGAGACCUCCUAAGUGAGGACUUCAUGAGGAGGAAUACUUGUCCUCACUGGUAACAUCCUUGCAGCAAAGGCCGACAACUUCUCUGCAUGUGAAAGGAAUCCUGUGGCCACUGUGAGGUUUGCUUUUAUCACUGUCCCUCAGCCCCAGCAUCCCUUCUGGGUGCAACUUCAGAGAGGAAAAAAAAGAAAUUCAGCAAGAAAUGGAUGUUCGGGUUGGGCAAAACAAUCAUGGGGUUUCUGAAAUCAAAUAAACCAUCUGAACUCAGAAAGGAUGAGGAUAGAGUAGCUCCUGCAAGAUUUUUGUAGAGUUUUUUGUUGUCAAAACAACUUUUCUGUAUAAAUGGCUUAUAUUUUGCUGUUUUAAAGAGCAAAAUAGGAAAAUAACAGUAACCCUCCCAAAAUGAAGCAGAACAUGAUCUACACCCCAAAGAAAAUUAUUGAAUGUUUUCCAGUUCAGUCAACAGAUUGAAAAAAAUCAAUUCUCUGCACACUUUCUCUGUGUUAUCCAACUGUUCUUCCUAAUGCAAAACAAAAGGAUUACAGCAAAAUAAGGAAACAACUGAGAAACUGAAAGAGGGGAAAUAUCCAUCAUUUGUCUUAAAGCUAAAUACAAAUUAAAAAUGAAAGCACUGCAUGUAGUCCCCCAAGGGACAGAUUUACUUCUAAUUAAUAAUAUGUUAGUGCCCUAGCCCUCUGCAUUUAAAACCCAAAACCUUUUAAUCCUGCUGGAACAGUAUAGCUAGAACCUCUAAGAAUUAACCCAGUCCAAUCCCAGCUUUACUUGCACUGUAAUUACUGGAAAUGUUUAGAGUUUAUUUUCUACCAUAUACUGAACUGAAGAGGAAGGUAAAAAAAAAAAUCCCAUAAACAGGAUAGAUGGACAUACAAUCAUUUUUCUUUGGUUAUUUGCAGUAUCUGAGGCAUAAUAAAAACUCAAAUUUUAUUUCUAAUUGUACUAGUUAAGUUUUUCUACUUCAAAAAUAAAUGAAAAUAAAAUCUUG